rnacentral:lncRNA from 1 species
UGACUGCCGAUGCUUUGGAGGUAAUUCCGUGGUAUGGCUUCUCUAAAAUGCUGGGGUCUGCACUGCAGCUGUGUUGUAUCUGCUCUUACAGCCUCUCCUGGGCUCUCUCCAGUACGCUGACCCAGACACAUGUCAAGCCUCAGCUUCUCAUGAGUCCUUCAGUACUGAGGUCUUGACCUUUCAUUGGGGGACUCAGUGCCUCAGCUGUUUUCCAUUAUUCUUUCAUGCCUUCAAAACUAGUACAUUCUGGGUAGCUUGUACUCUACAGCUUUCUGGAACACAGCACCUUUGUGCUGUCGCUGUGGACAUAGUCCCAGGUUUACAGUCGUCAUCUUAAUCACUGCUGAUUUCUCAGCUCCAGCUAACCAGCAUCCAUUGUCCUAGUAAUCAGGAGGUUCCGUUUCCGUGGUGCUGCUCUCUUGUGAUCAUGGUCAAUUCUUCAUCUCCACCUCAUCAGACACUACAGAGUUGUAAUUCAAAAUACUAAAUGACCACAAUAGAGUCUUUAAGGGACUCCUCAAAAUGUCCCUCUAGAACAUCACAAGCCAGGCAAGAUUUUAGUGUAACUAUCUUCCAACCUCUCAUAGAACCUAGCUCCAAUAUCCUUCCACAAUACUAUGAAGGAAAACCAAAACCAAAACAAAACCAUGGUCGUGUCUACGACCACAAUACCUCUGACCCUGAUGCCAAUUUCUGUCUUAGUUAGGCUUUCUAUGGCUGUGAUUAAACAUUGUAACCAAGAACAACCUGCGGAGGAAAGGCUUACAGUUCCACAGCUCAGUCCAUCACUGAGGCAAGUCAGGGCAGGAACCCAAGGCAGAAGCUGAUGCAGAGCCAUGGAAAAAGCCAUGGCACCAUCUACAAUGAGGUAGGCCUUCCCACAUCAUGAAAAUGUAACAUGGACCAGUCUAGUGGAAGAAGUUUUCAACUGAGGUUCUCUCUCCGAAAAUGACUCCAGCUUAUAUCAAAUUGAUAUUCCUAUAACUAAGACAUUUUGGGAUGAUUUCCAAGGCUAAGCAUGGAGGUUUCAUGCAUUCCUUGUUUUUCUGUUUGAGACCAGGUGUCUCUGUGUGUGCCUUGGAACCCAUGAUGCUCUUGCCUUAGCCUUCCAAGUGCUGUGAUCACGAGUGCAUGCCACCAUGACUGUCUACCUUCCCUUCUUAGAGCUUGCUUUUUAUUUUACCUGCAUGUUUAUAUUUUUUAAAAUUUAUUACAUAUGUAUGGGUGUCUUGCUUGCACAUAUGUCUGUGCACUACGUGCCUACUUGGUGCCUGAGGAGGUCUGAAAAUGGCAUCAGAUCUCAUGGAGCUGGAGUUAUAGAUGGUUGUGAGAACCAUAUACUUAUUUGUUGUCUGUGUAAACGCGCGCACGCGAGUCUGUGUGGAUGGUGUGUGUGUGGGUGGAUGUGCUCAUGUGACUAUAAGAGGACAACUUUCAAAAGUCAGUUCUUUCCACCUUAUUUAUCCCAGGGAUUGAACUCAGCUUGCCAGGUGUGGCGAUAGCGCUUUUACUCACCGAACCAUGUCAGUAGUUCCUGCCUAGUUAUUUCAAAUAAACAGUUUUCAAAUUAGUAGUCAUUUAAUCUGAAUUUCCAUCUUCUUUGAAAAAAAAAAGGAGAAGACCUGGUGACAUUGGGUUCAUAAAGCUCCCACGGCAAAAGCAAUGAGCCGCUGCUGCUUUAGAUGGGCACAUACAUUCUCUAGGUCACGCCCGUCCCUUCUGUUUUCAUCUUUCCACCUGCAUAUAAACCAGCUGCACAAGAGCUAUCACCUGAGCCUUCCGGUUGGAGGCCCACAGGGACUUCACGCCUUGGCAGAUGUGCUCUGGGCAGGCAGAAAAUAAAUAAAGGUCUGACAUAUGGGGCUAGCAGGCUCCACUGUCCUCUUAAAAUGGCAUAUCUUAAGUACGUGCAAGAUCAUGCAGUGGUCUCAUGAAAGGUCCAGCCCUCGCCCUCUGGAUACCAGACCACACUGGUCAAUUUUGUAAUUUAGUAAAGCAUUUCUGUAAUUUCUUUUUAAAGCUACAUGGUCCCAGUUUGCCCCAUUAACUUAAGGGUUUUUUAAAGUGUUGUGUCCGAUUUGUUAUUGUUACAUUUCUUUACAUUAUGCACGUGUAGAGACCAAACAACAACUUGGGAGGAGUUGGCUUUCUCCCGUAUGAGUUCCUUUUCUGUUGCUAUAGUGCAAGGCAGCUUAGAAAGGAAAGAUUUAAUUGGGCUUCCAGUUGCCGAGGGUUAAAGUCUGACGGUGCAGCACAGGCUUGGCGGCUGGAACAGCUGAGCAUGUGUAGGACCUCCACGCAGGAGGUAGACAGCAUACUGCAAAUAGCAUGGCUCCUUGGAAACUAAGGCCUGACUCCAGGGAAGCACCUCCUCCAACAAUGCCACAUACCUCCUAAUUCUUUCCAAACAACUCCCAACGUUUGGAGACUCUUAUCUUUGUUUUUCUGUAGGUGAUAAAGUGUCGAAAUGAGAUAAUGCACUCUUCAGAGAUGAAAGUUUCAUCUACCUGGCUUCGAGAUUUUCAGAUCAAGAUCCAAAAUUUUCUGAACGAAUUCAAGAAUAUCCCAGAGAUUGUAGCAGUAUAUUCCAGAAUAGAACAGGUAAAAAAUCUUCAUACAUUUGGAGUUUUUUUGAGGC